AAGACCUGCCUUUUGGCUAAGAUCAAAUGUAGUACCUGUUCAUAUCAGUUUAAUGUCUGAUAUGCCCUUUAUUUAAGAAUUACAUUUUUUUCUGAGGUGGGCUAGGAACUUGCUGCAUUCAAAACAUCAGCAUUGCAGAAAUGGUAUUGUGGGAGGAGUAGCACUAUCGGCAAGCUGAUGUGUUGAUUUUUAC